UUUAGACAAAGAUAUUUCAUAAAAGAAAAAAAAAUAGCCUUAAAUCAAAUAUUUGAUAAAAUUGUAUUUUUCUCACCAUGUCUAUUUUACUAAUUCUUGUCUGUUCUUUUGUUGAGAGUUUGAGAUGGAAAGAAGAUCGCAUUAUUUUCGAGGAUAGGUCAAGCAUUUAUGAUAACCGUAUUAUCGUCCCGUCUCAUAAACUUGUUUCGCGUAGUUUACGAACAUGCGAAUCUUAACUGUCCUGUAUCAAAUAUUCCGUGAAAUAAUGAUCAAACUAUUUUGCAAAAUUAUUAUAUAGCUAAUUAUCAAGAUUUAUGAAAAAAAAUCACACUGUUGAUGCACGAUAGCAAUCGAUAUAGGCGAAUCACAUUCUUCACUUUGAUAUCAAAUCAAAUUUUAUUGUUGAAAAUUGUUUAAUCUUAUUAUCAUAUUUAAUUUUUUACACGAAACUGAUUCAAAAUGUUAAAGGUCGAAUAAUAUUUGGAACACAAUUCCUACAAGAUUUUUUAUCACUAAACUCGUCGUUAGAAGAAGUCAUAUAAAACACAAUUUUCAUUCCUACACUUGUCACCAAAGGAAUUCAUAUGAAACACAAUUUCUACUCCUAUAUUUGCCACCAGACAUAUUCACAUAAAACACAAUUCUUAUUAUUACACUAGAGAAAUUCAUAUAGAAUAUAAUUUCUACUUGUAUAUAUUUGUCACCAUAAUGAAUGUUCAAGUUUCAUGCCUACUCUUACGUCAUUGGUUGAAUACGCAACCAAUGACAACAAGGUAUCGUUGCUACUAAUUGGAAACUUGCGCCACCAGUCAAAGGAUUCGCAAAAGGGAAAACCGUUAGAAAUUAUAAGAAAGAUUUUGGAACACACCGAUCUCUUUUGUAGAAUAUACACCAGAGGGAUCCACGUCGAAUAUAAUUCGUACUUUUUACUUCUCAUUGGAACAGUUUCACAUGGAAGACAAUUUCGCUGAACUGUUCUUUCUUGUAAGUGCAUCUUGUAACCUAAUUUCUAUUAUCCUAGAGUUUAAAAUAUGGAUUUGCUAAAUGAUUACUGAUCUAGAAAAGGUUAAAUGUACGCUAUCGAUUUCACGACUAUGAAACUCAUCUACAUACACACAUCUCUCUUACGAAAAGCUAGUCGUAGACUAACCCUUUGUACUUGAAAUAUGGCAGAAGUGGUGACACAGACAUUAAUUUUACCAACUCGGUAUAUCAAUUCUAGUGGACACGAAUAUAUCUUUGUAUCCUUACUAUUAUGCACAAUUAAAUGAAGACAUCCAUCUCUGGAAAGAGGUUAAAGACUGUAAUGGCUAAUCUAUAUUUGCUAUCAGGAAAAUUUACAUUGAGGGAUUUCUUAAAAAAAAUCCUUAUCUAUAUCAAAACUACUCGGAAUAUCUAUUAUCUAUUAUCAUAUCUGUCUACCAACUUAUCUAUUAUCUAAUGCAAUAUUCCAUUUAUACAAGUAUAAUCUGGUUUACAGGAACAUGUAACAAGAAAUUCUUCAUGAUUCUUAAUGAUUUAAAUAAAAUUUGAUAGCACGAUAAUUCUAUCUCUUAUCAUACGCACUAAGAUGAGGAAUAAUUUUAUUUUAUCUUAUUAUAAUUCUCUCCGACAUCUAACAACAAAGAAUACUUUGUGCUCAUCGGUUUCAAUCAAAUUUAAUCGAGGGAAAUAUACAAAUAUAAAAUUGUAAAAGACUGUAUGUGUAUUGGAGAGGUGUUCAAGAGCAAUUUUUCAACUCAAAUAGACACGUCAAAAGUUAUAUGAAAUAGAAGAAUCACGAGAGAAAUAAAUUUUUCGAAAGUUUAAUAACAUUCUGAACAAACUUGCAAGACUAUAAUGGUCUUUGCAAAGAUUUUCGCAUGUAUUAUACUUCGAGGCAAAGUACGAAAUAAAAAUGCAUAUAAAUAUUUCAACAGUUUUUGCUUUCUUCUACUUGUUCUUUUUUUCACGAAAUGUUACAGAGUGAAAGAGCAAGUACUUUGUUGAAUCUACCAAGUUCGUACAUACUUCACACAACUUUGGCCGUGAAGUUUCCGCCAAUUCACACGCCCAUACGCCCCAAGUUAAACUUUGAGGUCAGACUAAUUUUAUGUCUUCGCUAUAUCACUAGGAGAAUACUAUAUGUUUCAUCAGAUACAGUGGCUCAAGUUCCAAGUCUCGAAUCUUUAGACGGCUAAAUAGCUAAAUUUUGACGUCUGACCGAUUUUAUGACUUUUGAUAUAAGGGAAAGUUGUGGACAACGUUCGUGAAAUGAACUUGGACACUCGACGUGUUUUGUUGAUAAAACAGGAUGAAAAGAAGUCUGGGCAGUAGUAAAAAUCUUAAGUAGUCCUGUCACAGUGAUAAAGCGAUGUGAUGAAGUAUACCUAGUAGCAACAUGCUUUAAUUUAGUCUCUAUUAUUUCUUGAAGACUCUGUAAAGAUUCAUGAAGACUAUUCAAACAUAUUUCUAAAAAUUGAACAUAUUUCCAAUUUAUUAUACAAUCUUAUAAGAAAUAUAAAUUAAUAUCAAGUUGUCUUAUUACCAGCCGUAUUUUAAAUAAA
rnacentral:lncRNA from 11 species